GCCUGGGUGGCUCAGUCAGUUGAGCAUCUGACUUCGGCUCAGGUCAUGAUCUCACAGCUCGUGAGUUCAAGCCCCACGUCAGGCU
rnacentral:tRNA from 1 species